GAAGCUUUCAACUACUUCGUGUGUGGAUGGGUGAAUGACCUCGGCACCAAAGAGGCAUUAAACAAAUGUCGCCUUGUUUUUGCCCGGGUCAACCAUUCCCAGAGGUCUGGAGAAACACCAUUAAAAACGUGGAUUGUAGCUAAAGAAGAUGGAGAGGUUGUUACAGCACACUGUAACUGUAUGGCUGGUUUGUCAGAAUCCUGCUCACAUGUUGGAGCAGUUCUGUUUGCAAUCGAAGCAGGUGUGAAGAUGAGAGACUGCAUCCUGCACCACUGAGAAGUGCAAGUGGCUAAUGCCAUCACAUGUCAAAAAGAUUCCUGCUGCUCCAGUUGCGAUGAUAGACUUUUCAUCCGCAAAAUCCAAAAAGCAAAAACUGGAUGAUGCCAUUGCUGGAAGGACAGGUGAGAAGCACACAUUUCAGCGUCCCACAGUCCAGGGUUCAAAAUUGGAGCGAGGAUCAGAGAGGUAUAUGCAGUUUUUCAAGACUUUGAGCAGAAAUUCCCCAAGAAGUGCUGCACUGAUGUCCAGGGAACCAUAUUACAGAGAAUUUGUCCCUAAAUCUGUGAGCAAGCUACCUAAACCACUACCUCAGUAUAGGACACCAGAGAUGCUACAGCUAUCCCCAACAGAGUUGCAGAAUGCAUGCCAGGACUUCAGACAGGAAGAGCUGACACAGCCACAGGUCCAGGCAGUAGAGGAGGAGACCAGAAACCAGAGCUUAUCAGCAAUAUGGUUUAGCCAAAGAGCAGGAAGGAUCACAGCCUCAAGACUGAAGCAGGUUCUACAGACUAGUCUUGCACAGCCAUCAAAGUCCUUGAUCAAGUCCAUAUGCUACCCAGAGGCAUACAAGUUCUCUACAGCUGCAACAAGGUAUUUAUUAGGGAUUAGGGAGCCAAUCAGAAAAGCAAACUGUAUACAGUUUUUCUCAGACGCGGAGGGAUACCGACUUGUUGUGAAAAGUAACUUACAAUUCUACCCGUGGUAUACGCUGAUUAUAUCACGUAUAUCAGUAAGUUACAGUACAAGUAACUUAUAACUAAAUUCAUUAUCAUUACAAAACAUGAUUCACAAAA